AUUGAACGCUGGCGGCAGGCCUAACACAUGCAAGUCGAACGAGUGGCGGACGGGUGAGUAAUGUCUGGGAAACUGCCUGAUGGAGGGGGAUAACUACUGGAAACGGUAGCUAAUACCGCAUACCAUCGGAUGUGCCCAGAUGGGAUUAGCUAGUCGGUGGGGUACCGGCUCACCUAGGCGACAAUCCCUAGCUGGUCUUAGCGGUUGACCGGCAACAGUGGAACUGGGACACGGUCCAGACUCCGACGGGAGGCAGCAGUGGGGAAUAUUGCGCAAUGGGCGCAAGCCUGAUGCAGCCAUGCCGCGGGUAUGAAGAAGGCCUUCGGGUUGUAAAGUACUUUCAGCGGGGAGGCGUUACCCGCAGAGGAAGCACCGGCUAACUCCGUGCCAGCAGCCGCGGUAAUUC
rnacentral:rRNA from 1 species